rnacentral:piRNA from 1 species
UGCCAGCAACCAAAGACUUUGUUCAAUGU